UAGGCAUAAAAAGUCUGGAAAUUAAAAAAUUUAAACAAUUUCCUUGAAAUUUGGCCGAUUGGGAUAUAGUUUACGCAUAAAAUGUCUGAAAAUAAUACUCUUAGCAUUUCUUUCUUCAAGUGUCUAAUUUAAGCUGUCUAAGAUUUUUGAUAAUUUGUGAAUUGCAUUAGAGAGAAGCGAUAAAGUUACAUUCGAAAAGAUAAACAAGAAGUAUUCCCUCCAAGUUGAUUCUUUAUGUUUUUUGCAUUCAUUAAUUAAUCAAGUUCAUCUUAAAUAUUUGCGCUGAAGCCUACUUAAACAAAACUGCAAAAUCGGAUAAAUUAGUACCUAUUCUGAAAAGCAGUUUGCUAAUUGAUUGUGUAUUUUUCUGUCAUACACCUUCAGUCGUUCUGCAUAAAAAAUCGUACACAUGAAUAGGAAGGAACCUUGACGUGGUUCAUGUGCUUUAAACAAAUACCUUCCAGACAGAUACAUUCUCACCCGUUGUACUGUGAGAGAUAAAUGUUGACAUCGAGUACAUAAACCAUAUUAAGAAUAGCUAGUAUAGGU
rnacentral:lncRNA from 1 species